AUUGUAUUAUUUUGUUGUAGUUUUUAGCUCGUAGAUGAAUUUAAAGGUAGUAGAUGAAUGUCAGUCGGCUUUAAAGAAUUUUUUUAGGUAAAGGUUAAGUUUAAUUGUGUUAUUUUUAUAUCUAUGUUUUGAUAAAUUUUUUUUGUGUAAAGGUAAAGUUUUGUUGUAUUAUUUUGAUAUCUCUAUUGUCAUAUUAUUUUGUUAUAGUUUACAGGUAGUAGAUGA
rnacentral:lncRNA from 1 species